rnacentral:rRNA from 1 species
CCUACGGGAGGCAGCAGUGAGGAAUAUUGGUCAAUGGGCUUACGCCUGAACCAGCCAAGUCGCGUGAGGGAAGACUGCCCUAUGGGUUGUAAACCUCUUUUGUCAGGGAGCAACGCCGGCUACGUGUAGCCGGACUGAGAGUACCUGAAGAAAAAGCAUCGGCUAACUCCGUGCCAGCAGCCGCGGUAAUUCGGAGGAUGCGAGCGUUAUCCGGAUUUAUUGGGUUUAAAGGGUGCGUAGGCGGAAUGCCAAGUCAGCGGUAAAAUCGCGGGGCUCAACCUCGCUCCGCCGUUGAAACUGGCGUUCUUGAGUGGGCGAGAAGUAUGCGGAAUGCGUGGUGUAGCGGUGAAAUGCAUAGAUAUCACGCAGAACUCCGAUUGCGAAGGCAGCAUACCGGCGCCCAACUGACGCUGAAGCACGAAAGCGUGGGUAGCGAACAGGAUUAGAUACCCCAGUAGUC